ACAAACCGGUGCAUGCACUUCUCAUGAGGAGAAUUUUAUUUUAUGCAUGUAAAGUUUAUUCUAAUCAUCGAUCUCUGUGCCCAUGUCCUGUCAAGUUAUCUGGUCGUAUCUCAGUAACAAGUCAUGUUUCAGCCUAGUUACAUUCACUUAAAUUUUUCAGGAUACAAGUGAUUUUGAAUUGAAGGCGUCCUUGGAAUCAAGCAAGGACAACUUUAGAGGAAGUUCUUCACAACCUUUGAGAGACGAUGCCCGUAGGUCCCGUAGGUAUUCAGGGAGCAAGGAAACAAUUAGCAGCAAAUAUGCUGCCUUGAGGGAACAGGGCAAGCAAACAUCUCAUGUGAAGCCAAUGGAGGAUGUAGGCUCUACUAAGGUCUCUUUACUUGAUUCUGCCAACCCUCGCUCUGGCAGCACAGCAGCAGCCCCAUCUGGUUUGGCUGGAAAAUGGGCAUCUAUGAAAGCAGGUUUCCAGAACUUCAAAACAAACAUUGAAGCAAAAAGGUUAAUUCCACUACGCCAAGUUGGUGAAUUUAUGCCUCUACGCCAAGCUCAGGAUACCAAUGUCUCUCGUGCCUCCUCAUCCGAAUCUCUUGAUGAUAUAUUCAAUAAAUUAAAACGACCUGCUGCAGAGACUGAAAAUUACAGUGAUGAUGUCCUUUACGUCAAGCUCAGGAUACCAAUGUCUCUCGUGCCUCCUCAUCCGAAUCUCUUGAUGAUAUAUUCAAUAAAUUAAAACGACCUGCUGCAGAGAGUGAAAAUUACAGUGAUGAUGAUGGUGAUGAGAGAAUACCCUGGAGAUGAUACUGUAAAUUGUUUCCCAUUUGAUGGAAUAUACUUGUUGAUAUAUGUAGAAAUCAGGAAGAAAUGAGCCAACAAGAUGUACAGGACUCUGCGAACCUAUCAGCUGCUUAAUCAUUCUUUACAGCUGACUUUUGAUGUAGUUGAAAGGCCAUGCGAUAAGAUAGGAGCCAAGCAACCGGUCAGGGGGUGAUUCCAGGAUCACCCAACGGCCCAUGGCAGAACUGUAGGAGUGUAGGUCAUAGGAAAGCUGAGAUAUAAAUUCUUUCCACAUUGAAUGAAGAGAAAUCCUGUAGGUCAGUGUAUUCAGUUUGUAACUUUGUAUAAGUUGUUUCUUGUAUAAUUCGUGUACUGCUAAAUUUUGAGGGUUUCUGUGUUUUGGGAGCGGGAUGUUGAUUACAUAAUCUGAUGGUUAUAUAAAAUUUUGGUCUGUCACAUUGUUGGUUAUUGACAGGAAAAGUUAGAUAUUAAAUCCACGGAUACUUCCUUAAUCAUGAAAAUACCUGUAUUGUUUUAGAUCUUCUAGUAUCUGCUAGUAAAAGUUUUAAAUUGUAGUCACAGCUGGAUGUGCUGUUAUUUCUUUUUGAAUAGAACAUAU
rnacentral:lncRNA from 1 species